UUUCAUUUUCUUUGGAUAAAUACACCACAAGUGGAAUUGCUGAAUCAUAUGAUAGCUAUAUUUUUAAUUUUUUGAGGACCCACCAGAUUGUUUUCCAUAGAGGUUGCACCAUUUUACAUUUCCACUAACAAGGCAUGAGGAUUCCCUUUUCACAUCUUUACCAAUAUUUGUUAUUUUUUUAUAUUUUGGAUUAUAGCCAUUCUGACAGGUAUGAGGUGAUAGCUCACUGUGGUUUUGAUUGGCAUUUCCUUAUUAGUGAUGUCAAACAUCUUUUCACAUAUCUGUUACCUAUUUGCAUGUAUUCUUUGGAAAAUGUCUAUUUAGAUCCUUUUCACACUUUAAAAUUGUAUUGUUUAGUUUUUUGCUACUGACUUGUAUGGAUUCUUUCUAUUUUUUGGAUUAAAUCUCCUUAUCAGAUACAUGAUUUGCAAAUAUUUUCUUGCAUUCAGUAGGUGGCACUCUGAAUUCUGCAAUAGUGGUUUAAAUUGCUAGCAGUUCUUUUUGAUUCCUUCUCAGAGUUUCAGCCUCCCUAUGUGCAUUAUCUAUUGUAUUUGCAAUGUGUUCCACUUUUUCCAUUAAAAUCCUUAGCAUCGCAAUCAUAGUUAUUUUAAAUUCCUAGUCCAAUCAUUCCAAAAAUAAUUGCCAUAUCUGAAUUUAACUAUUUUUUUUCUUGCUUUUAGCUUUGUAAAUUUUCUUGAAAACUCAACAUGAUCUAUUAGGUAACAGGAACUAGGUAACUUGGCUUUAGUGUGAUGGUGUAUGUUGACCAGGCUGGGAGUUACACUGUGAUUGCUGUUUGGUUUGGCUGUAGCUGUCCAAGAUAUCAGUUUCCUCUAGUGUCCUUGUUCUUGUUUUCUCCUAGCAAAGUCCUUUAUUAAGAGUAUGAGCCUUUCAUUUUCUGUUCAACUAUAACCUCUGUCAUUAUGUAGGGAUUCUGUGGUUGUGUUAGAAGAAGGUGUUGGGAAAACAGAACAUUCUGUAGUCCUAUGAUUAUGUCUGUUUUCUAUGGGUCUGGGCCCCAGGAAUAUAAUCUUCACAAGUACUCC
ensembl:lncRNA